rnacentral:rRNA from 1 species
GUUUGGUGCUUAUUGCAUGAGAGAUACACCUGUUCCCAUGUCGAACACAGCAGUUAAGUCUCAUUACGCCGGAAGUAGUUGGGGGUUACCCCCCUGUGAGAUAUGGUCGGUGCCAAGC